AUUGAACGCUGGCGGCGUGCCUUACACAUGCAAGUCGAACGGCAGCACGGGUGCUUGCACCUGGUGGCGAGUGGCGAACGGAUGAGUAAUACAUCGGAACGUACCUUAUCGUGGGGGAUAACGCAGCGAAAGCUGUGCUAAUACCGCAUACGCCCUGAGGGGGAAAGCGGGGGAUCGCAAGACCUCGCGCGAUUAGAGCGGCCGAUGCCUGAUUAGCUUGUUGGUGGGGUAAAAGCCCACCAAGGCGACGAUCAGUAGCUGGUCUGAGAGGACGAUCAGCCACACUGGGACUGAGACACGGCCCAGACUCCUACGGGAGGCAGCAGUGGGGAAUUUUGGACAAUGGGGGCAACCCUGAUCCAGCAAUGCCGCGUGAGUGAAGAAGGCCUUCGGGUUGUAAAGCUCUUUUGUCAGGGAAGAAACACCGGCUCUAACACAGUCCGGGAAUGACGGUACCUGAAGAAUAAGCACCGGCUAACUACGUGCCAGCAGCCGCCGUAA
rnacentral:rRNA from 1 species